UACAGAGCCACGAGCGUUAGGCGGAAUCACUGGGCUUAAAGCGUGUGUAGGUGGAUGGGUAAGUACCUUGUGAAAUCCCACGGCUCAACCGUGGAACUGCUUGGUAUACUGCCUGUCUUGAGGCACUCAGGGGCGAGCGGAACAAAUGGUGGAGCGGUGAAAUGCGUAGAUAUCAUUUGGAACGCCAAUGGUGAAGACAGCUCGCUGGGGGUGUACUGACACUGAGA
rnacentral:rRNA from 1 species